CGGGGGGAGCGGGGAACGCGGCCCCUUCCCCGGCUCAGGAGCCGCGGGGACCCGCUGGGAGAUACUGGGAGAGACUGGGAUCUGCUGGGAUCCACUGGGAGAAGCCGGGAUCCACUCGGGGAUAAGGGAAUCCACGGGGGGAUAUGGGGAUCUGCUGGGAUCUGAGACGGGCCCUUGGGAUCUGCUGGGAUCCACUGGGAUCCACUGGGGGGUGCAGGGAUCUGAUGGGAGCUCUUGGGACCUGCUGGGAUCCACUGGGGGAUACUGGAAUCUGCUGGGAUUGCAUGGGAGCUGUCAGAUCUACUGUGAUCCACUGGGAGAUACUGGGAUCCAUUGGGGGAUAUUGGGAUGUGAGAGGAUCUUCUGGGAUCCAGUGAGGGGGGUGAUGGGAUCCACUGGGAGAUACUGGGACAUGAGAGGAUCUUCUGGGAUAUGCUGGGAUCAACUGGGGGAAGCGGGAUCUGCUGGGAGAUACUGGAAUCCACUGGGAUCUGAGAGGAGCAUUUGGGAUCUGCUGGGAUCACCAGGAGAAUGCUGGGAUCCACUGGAGUCUGAGAGGAGCUGUUGGGACAGGCUGGGAUCCACUGGGGGUGCUGGGAUCCACUAGAAUCUGACAGGAGCGAUUGGGAUCUUCUGGGAUCCUCUAGGAUCUGCUGGGAUCCACUGGGAGAUACUGGGAUCUGCUGGGACACACCGAGUUCCUCUGGGACCCACAGGGACCCGAUGGGAUCCACUGGGAUCUGUUGUAGCCCACUAGGAUCUGCUGGGAUCCAUUGGGAGAUGCUGGGUUUUUUUGGGGGACCUGCUGGGACCCUCUGAGAUCCACUGGAAUCUACUGGGACCUGCUGGAAUGUUCUAGGACUUGCUGGGAUCCAUUGGGACACGCUGGGAUCCACUGGCCUUCACUGGGAUCUGCUGGAACUCACUGGGACCCUCUGGGAUCUACUGGGAUCCUCUGGAGUUUGGGGUUUUCCCCCCUCAAAUUCCCAGGAAAAGCAGGAGGUCAGCCUGCACAAGGCAUCAGCUGAAGAGGUUUUUGGCCUCCCAGGAGCUUGGAUGUGCCCAGGAUUUGGUGGGAGGAUGUCACAGGGACUGGAUGUGCUGGAGAACCCCUGAAUUCAGGAUCUGGGAUUCCCCUGUGCCAAUCCCCCACCAAAGGGACUUCAGAGGACACGAAGGGAAGGAAAGGGCUCGAGGAGUGCAUCCCCAGCUCUGGAAUGGGCUCUGGCCCUGCCUGGAGCACACACUAGGCUCUGCUCUAAUUAAAGACCAUAACCCACCUCAAUUAACACUCGUGGGGCCUGUUCCCUGCACAGCCACGAGGAGCCAGCACAGCUGAGGGCAGGCACUCGGCAGAGCUGAGCCAAGCCAGAAAUUGUCUUUUCUGCCCCAUCCCCCUGUGCUCCAUCCACACUGGGACUGUGGAAGGGCUGAGCUGAGCUUGGGAGAGAUCCCAGAUCACCGUGGGAUCACUGAAAUCCAAGGACUCAGUCAGUUAAAGCUGAGCCAGGGGUUCCAGGCUUGAGGGGGUUGAUUGCACCUCCAUCUCCGAGGGAAUUGUGAAAAAUGCGUAUUUUAUGAUUGGCUCUUCGCAAAUAUUAAUUGAAUACUCUAUGUAUUAUGGA